AUGGAUUUGAGUAGAAACAAUUUAAGUGGUGCCAUUCCAGCGACCUUUUCUAAUCUUCCCAGACAGGCUAUGCUGAUUUUAGCAUAUAAUAGUUUGACUGGCAAAGUUCCAUCUAUCACAGCCUCAAUCUUACUUGACCAUAAUAAGGAUUUAUGCGGUGAUUCCAAUCACUUAAUGCCAUGUGAAACACUGAAGCUCGACAUGAACCACCAAAGCAGAAAACAUCCACGUAUGGUACUUCUUGCGUUUUUUGCACCCUUUUCCUUCGCUUGCCUCUCAAUAGCAAGCAUCACGGUUAUUUGUAGGAGAAACAAGUGUUCAAAAAGUAAAAGGAAAAGCAAGUCUGGAGAUAUACUUUCUAUAUGGAAUUUCGAUGGGAAGAUCGCAUUCGAAGACAUACUCACUGCAACUGAAAAUUUCAAUGAGAAAUAUUGCAUUGGCAUUGGAGGCUAUGGAACUGUCUUCAGAGUCGAGCUCGAAGGCGGGGUUACCUUUGCCGUCAAGCUCCUGCAUUCAAUGGAAGAAUUCAACGACGAGGAAACAUUUCACGCUGAGAUUGAAGUGUUGACAAAAAUCAGGCACCGAUGCAUGGUCAAGCUGUAUGGCUUCUGUUCACACUCCCAAUGCAAAUUUCUUGUGUAUGACCUUAUUGAGAGGGGAAGCUUAUCAUCCAUUUUGCACGAGCAAGAGCUAGCAAAGGAGCUGGACUGGUCAAAUAGAAUUGCUAUUGUGGCGGACAUAGCUCAAGCUCUCUCCUAUUUGCAUCAUGAUUGCGAUGAUCCUAUUGUACACCGGGACAUAAAAAGCAGCAACAUUCUUCUGAACCGAGAUUAUAAAGCUUAUGUCUCGGACUUUGGCAUGGCGAGGAAGCUGAAGCAUGGUUGCUCAAGCUGGAGCACUAUCUUUGCAGGGACAUGUGGCUAUAUAGCCCCAGAAUUGUCAUCCACCAUGGUGUUGACCGAGAAGUGCGACGUGUACAGCUUCGGUGUGGUUGCGCUGGAAGUUGUGAUGGGAAAGCAACCAGGUGAUCUGCUCCUUCCGUUCUUCUGCCGAACAGAGCAGCCGAGGAAGUUCAACGAUAUCCUGGAUCGACGCAUCGCUGUGCCGUCAACCAUUCAUGAGGAGAAGGAUGUCAUUUUGGUUGUCUUGGUAAAAAAAUAUAUUGGCCUGUAUAUUUGUAUUUGUGUGUAG
rnacentral:rRNA from 1 species